CACGUAGGGGGCAAGCGUUGUCCGGAUUUAUUGGGCGUAAAGAGCUCGUAGGCGGUUUCGUAAGUCGGAUGUGAAAACUCCAGCUCAACUUGGAGACGCCAUUCGAUACUGCGAUGACUUGAGUCCGGUAGGGGAGUGUGGAAUUCCUGGUGUAGCGGUGAAAUGCGCAGAUAUCAGGAGGAACACCGGUGGCGAAGGCGGAUCUCUGGGCCAUUACUGACGCUGAGGAGCGAAAGCGUGGGGAGCGAACAGG
rnacentral:rRNA from 1 species